UACCAUAUUUAUUCAUCUUAAUAAAAAUACUGUUUAUUGUUAGUUUAUGUUAGCUCAGGUGCAGUAUUAACAGAUACAAAUUUAGUUUUUAAAUAAUGAUUUUUAAAUGCUUAUAAAGAAGGAAUAAUACAUGCUUUGAGAAUUUUUUUUUGUACAGCGUUACCAAAUAUUUCUAUAUAGCUUUAUUUUUAUUUCAGUUUUAGUAAUUUUAGUACAUAAACUUCUAUUUCAGUUUAUUGCCUGUGCAACUUUUCUCUUUUUUUAUUUUCACUUUUUGAAGUUUAAUUUAAUAUAUUAUACUGUAUAUGUAUUAUAUCAUUGAUCUACUUUUUUUAUUUUUAUUUUUUUUUUUUAGCUGACAUCUCAGAUGGAGUGUACGCCUCCAUUCCUGUAUUUCCUCAAGCAACUUCAAACAGUGUUGGCUCUCAAAGCAGCACAUACCAGGCUCUGUAUGACUAUGUUGCUCAGGGCCCUGAUGAGCUCUCCAUCUCUGUGGAAGUGCUGCUCGUGGUGGAACAGGGAGGAGACGGCUGGUGGACGGUGGAGAGGGACGGCCAGACUGGGCUGGUGCCAGGCUCCUACUUGGCCAAGAUAUGAAUCAAGAGUCUAGCGCACACUGGAAAGGCUCUCCAUGUCCUUAAACGCCCUCUAAUAGCAGAGUUAUUAAGGGCACUCCCUAUAAAAGUGUCUCAGAGGAUGAUUUCUGUUUGCUAAAAGCAUUUAAGCAGUAGCACAUCCGUACUGAAAAUCUGUAUGGAACAUAGAAACAGGUUAAUGUGUAUAUUAAAAACUGAUAAUUAUACGCGACUAUCAUUAUUGUCGAGAUAGAGAUUUAUAUUUAUUAUAAAAGUUAUUUAUUGUGAAUGAAAAACGUAAGAAUGUAUAACACAAUGAGUAGCCACUACGGACUUGCCAUGAUUUAGUUCAUGCGAAGACCAUGACAAUGCACAGAUUUUGGUGAACACAAACAGAAUUCCAAAUUUUCAUCUUUUUGGAAAAGUAAUCAAUGAAACAAAAGUGAGGUCAUCUAUAAUUUUUAAAAUUAUAUCAUCUAUAAUAGAGCUCUAGGUUGAGCAUUUUGCAUUUAUCACUUGGACUGCAUAAAAUAAAAGCUGUGUAAUGAUCAUUGCAUCAUGUUGCCGUUGACUGAAUGGAAGUUGAGUAAUGGUUUGAA